rnacentral:rRNA from 1 species
AGAGUAGGAUCCUUGCUCAGGAUGAACGCUGGCGGCGUGCUUAACACAUGCAAGUCGAACGGGAAUUACUUUAUUGAAACUUCGGUCGAUAUGUUUUAAUUCUAGUGGCGGACGGGUGAGUAACGCGUGGGUAACCUGCCUUAUACAGGGGGAUAACAGUCAGAAAUGACUGCUAAUACCGCAUAAGCGCACAGAGCUGCAUGGCUCGGUGUGAAAAACUCCGGUGGUAUAAGAUGGACCCGCGUUGGAUUAGCUAGUUGGUGAGGUAACGGCCCACCAAGGCGACGAUCCAUAGCCGGCCUGAGAGGGUGAACGGCCACAUUGGGACUGAGACACGGCCCAGACUCCUACGGGAGGCAGCAGUGGGGAAUAUUGCACAAUGGGGGAAACCCUGAUGCAGCGACGCCGCGUGAAGGAAGAAGUAUCUCGGUAUGUAAACUUCUAUCAGCAGGGAAGAAUUAGGACGGUACCUGACUAAGGAGCCCCGGCUAACUACGUGCCAGCAGCCGCCGGUAAUACGUAGGGGGCAAGCGUUAUCCGGAUUUACUGGGUGUAAAGGGAGCGUAGACGGAUGGACAAGUCUGAUGUGAAAGGCUGGGGCUCAACCCCGGGACUGCAUUGGAAACUGCCCGUCUUGAGUGCCGGAGAGGUAAGCGGAAUUCCUAGUGUAGCGGUGAAAUGCGUAGAUAUUAGGAGGAACACCAGUGGCGAAGGCGGCUUACUGGACGGUAACUGACGUUGAGGCUCGAAAGCGUGGGGAGCAAACAAGAUUAGAUACCCUGGUAGUCCACGCGGUAAACGAUGAAAAAUGGGUGUCGGGUGACGAAGUCAUUCGGUGCCGCCGCAAACGCAUUAAGCAUUCCACCCUGGGGAGUGCGUUCGCAAGAAUGAAACUCAAAGGAAUAGACGGGGACCCGCUCAAGCGGUGGAGCAUGUGGUUUAAUUUGAAGCAACGCGAAGAACCUUACCAAGUCUUGACAUCCCUCUGACCGACUCUUAACCGAGUCUUUCUUUUGGGACAGAGGAGACAGGUGGUGCAUGGUUGUUGUCAGCUCGUGUCGUGAGAUGUUGGGUUAAGUUCCGCAACGAGCGCAACCCCUAUCCUCUAGUAGCCAGCAUUUAAGGUGGGCACUCUGGAGAGACUGCCAGGGAUAACCUGGAGGAAGGCGGGGAGGACGUCAAAUCAUCAUGCCCCCUAUGAUUUGGGGUACACACGUGCUACAAUGGCGUAAACAAAGGGAAGCGAACUUGCGAGGGUGGGCAAAUCCCAAAAAUAACGUCCCAGUUCGGACUGUAGUCUGCAACCCGCCUACACGAAGCUGGAAUCGCUAGUAAUCGCGGAUCAGAAUGCCGCG